GAGAUGAUAGACACUGAGGGCAUAGGCAAACAUAAGCAUGGAGAAAUACUACAUUUCCUGUGGCUUCCAAUCCAGGUCAGUGUUUGUCUUUUAAAAAUACGUUCAUGGACAUAACAGCUAAGUUGGAAGUGACCAGUCAUUUGCAUGAAGUUCAACCCCAUUCAAGAUAUGAAAAGUGAAGUAAUUAGCUAAAGAGUACAGAACCAAAGCUGGAGUCCUACAACAAUUUUAAUGACAUGCCUGAGUAAGGCACGUAUGAGCCCCUCUGUUUAAAUGAAAAGCAAACUAACAAAAAAUUUCUUUCCUCAGAUUUAUAAACUUUGUUAGUGGAACACGUUUCACUUGACCACAAAGACUCAUUUCGUAUCUAACCGGGAUGUAGACGUCUUGGAAGAACCAUGGUAUUUCAAAGGGUGCCUGCUUAACUGUCACAAGGGCUGGAUUUCAUCAGAAUAGAACAAGUGAAUUAAUAUUUGAUGCAUGUCACAGAAGAGAUUAUUGUAAGUAGGUUGAUGUUUUUCUACUAUACCUCCGGAAAGCAGGAAGCCUCUAUUCCCAAGAACCAUCCGGGAACCAAGCCGAUGCAUAGAACCACUAGGUUGGGGUAACGAGCGCCACCCACAUCCUAAAACAAGGAGAUGAAGAAUGGUGGGGAGCUUGAUCAAUGGUUGGACACAGAAUUGAAACAAGCAAGUGUACCAAGCUUGUCUUGGCUAGGUAGGUACUUUGAGAAUAACUCUGGCCUUGUACUGCCUUAUCUUGUUUGGUACCCUUAGAAUUAGGAGCACUGGGAGAAAGGCAUAGAACAGACUCUUCUUCCAUGGUAGAAGGA